rnacentral:rRNA from 1 species
UCGCGGCCUAUCAGCUUGUUGGUGAGGUAAUGGCUCACCAAGGCGUCGACGGGUAGCCGGCCUGAGAGGGUGACCGGCCACACUGGGACUGAGACACGGCCCAGACUCCUACGGGAGGCAGCAGUGGGGAAUAUUGCACAAUGGGCGCAAGCCUGAUGCAGCAACGCCGCGUGAGGGAUGACGGCCUUCGGGUUGUAAACCUCUUUUAGCAGGGAAGAAGCGAAAGCGACGGUACCUGCAGAAAAAGCGCCGGCUAACUACGUGCCAGCAGCCGCGGUAAUACGUAGGGCGCAAGCGUUAUCCGGAAUUAUUGGGCGUAAAGAGCUCGUAGGCGGUUUGUCGCGCCUGCUGUGAAAUCCCGAGGCUCAACCUCGGGCCUGCAGUGGGUACGGGCAGACUAGAGUGCGGUAGGGGAGAUUGGAAUUCCUGGUGUAGCGGUGGAAUGCGCAGAUAUCAGGAGGAACACCGAUGGCGAAGGCAGAUCUCUGGGCCGUAACUGACGCUGAGGAGCGAAAGGGUGGGGAGCAAACAGGCUUAGAUACCCUGGUAGUCCACCCCGUAAACGUUGGGAACUAGUUGUGGGGUCCUUUCCACGGAUUCCGUGACGCAGCUAACGCAUUAAGUUCCCCGCCUGGGGAGUACGGCCGCAAGGCUAAAACUCAAAGGAAUUGACGGGGACCCGCACAAGCGGCGGAGCAUGCGGAUUAAUUCGAUGCAACGCGAAGAACCUUACCAAGGCUUGACAUACACGAGAACGGGCCAGAAAUGGUCAACUCUUUGGACACUCGUGAACAGGUGGUGCAUGGUUGUCGUCAGCUCGUGUCGUGAGAUGUUGGGUUAAGUCCCGCAACGAGCGCAACCCUCGUUCUAUGUUGCCAGCACGUUAUGGUGGGAACUCAUGGGAUACUGCCGGGACAACUCGGAGGAAGGUGGGGAUGACGUCAAAUCAUCAUGCCCCUUAUGUCUUGGGCUUCACGCAUGCUACAAUGGCCGGUACAAAGGGCUGCAAUACCGUGAGGUGGAGCGAAUCCCAAAAAGCCGGUCCCAGUUCGGAUUGAGGUCUGCAACUCGACCUCAUGAAGUCGGAGUCGCUAGUAAUCGCAGAUCAGCAACGCUGCGGUGAAUACGUUCCCGGGUCUUGUACACACCGCCCGUCAAGUCAUGAAAGUCGGUAACACCUGAAGCCGGUGGCCUAACCCUUGUGGAGGGAGCCGUCGAAGGUGGGGCUGGA